rnacentral:rRNA from 1 species
GGGUCCGCACAAGCGGUGGAGCAUGUGGUUUAAUUCGAUGAUACGCGAGGAACCUUACCUAGGCUCGAAUGCGAGUGCUACCUGCUGAAAAGCGGGGUUUCUUCGGAACACAAAGCAAGGUGCUGCAUGGUUGUCGUCAGCUCGUGCCGUGAGGUGUUGGGUUAAGUCCCGCAACGAGCGCAACCCUUAUUGCUAGUUGCCAGCAUUUAGUUGGGGACUCUAGCAAGACUGCCGGCGCAAGCCGUGAGGAAGGUGGGGAUGACGUCAAAUCAUCAUGGCCUUUAUGCCUAGGGCUACACACGUGCUACAAUGGACGAGACAAAGGGUCGCUAACCCGCAAGGGGGUGCUAAUCUCAUAAACUCGUUCCCAGUUCGGAUUGGGGUCUGCAACUCGACCCCAUGAAGUCGGAAUCGCUAGUAA